UUUCUGCAAGAUUCACAAACUGCAGAUAUUUUAGGAUAUGGGUUAGGGUAAGGGUAAAGAGCACAGGAAAUCUUACGUUUUUUUGAACAAUAACAAUAUUUGUUGUUAAUCUGUUGCUAAGAGAUGAGCACAUUUUCUAGUUACCCUGUGCCACAAAGUAAACACUGAUUGUUACUUGAAUAAAAGUUAAAAUCAGAAAAUUGUGCAUUAACAUUAGCACUAACAUUAGUAGACAGUGUCUUUUUUCUAAAAUAAGUUUUUUUUUGUUAUUAUUUAUUAACCAUGUUUAGCAUACUGACAGAGGAAUGUCAAUGUAAGACAACAUGUUAGUGAUGCCCCACAUGCCACUUGAAGCAUUCAUUAAUUUUAGCUUAUACUCUAAUUUUAACAUACUGAAUGGAGUAAAGCCCUUUUUGCACUUCAGCUUGGCCCCGUUCGGCCCAGUUCUAUUGGUCUUACAGCCCUGAUCAGUUCAAUUGGAGAAAUUUUAUGGUUAUUUACAUUUACCAUUAAUAUCUUUGGUGAAGAUUUUAAAUGGUAUAUUAAAAUACCAUUGUAAUAGACUGUAAUCCCAGUGCAGGGUAAAAAUAAAUUAUGACGGGAAUUUAUCGAUGCAUUAUAUUGAAAUGACAGACAAUGAGAAAGUCUAGUGCUCCUCUGACCCACAGAUCUGGUCUUUGUCCCGCCCCCGCAGCCAAUGAACCAAUCAAGACUCCAAACCAGCCCCGUCUGGCGGCCCGAUUGGAACAGCAGUUCUCUGGGUUCCAGGGAGCCAUGUGGCACCGGGCUGGAAGUGCUAAUGCAAAAACGAUCAGCCCUGCUUUUAAGCCAGACCGGUCUGGCUGUGCAGUGCAAAAGGGGCUUAAGUCCAUGUUACUCAACAUGCCUCUGACUCUCCACACGCUAUUGAGUACAUUAUAGCCUACUUUAGAAUUGAUGCUAAGUAUUAGCGUCAGAACGCUGGGUUGCAACCGACAGCCACACUUUGGUAUGCGCUGUUGAAAUUCUUUAGAAAAUUUCUAGUUUUUAUAUAGUACCUUCUGUGUGGAACGUGUUUUAACAAGAGCAGCGGCUUGUCACCCAGAGAGUCAGAGUCACACCAGAGCAAAACAUCAAGAGGUUCUUGUGUGAUGAAUAGACUGAUUUUUUAAUGAAGCGAUUAAACAUUGGCUGCUUUGAGAUCAGAAGGUCACUGGAUGCCUUUGAAUCAAAGACCAUACUUGUCGACUCUUUUGUAGAUGACCUCUGACCCUUCUCCACUGCUACUUGUUAAGUCGAUAACUUAACAAGUAUCUAUAUUUACACCACUGUACAUUAGUGUUGACUUUACUUAAAAGUAGGUUUGAUUGCUAAAAGCUAAUUGAACUGAACACAGUUCCCACAAUAAUCAAUGUAUUCGAUGACCAUAUAUAAUACAAAAUACCUGUAGGGUAAACCGUAUGCUCUGACUUUGUGACACCAAGAGCUUCCUAAAAUGUAGUAAUAUUGUAUAAAGUAUUAACAGCAUCCAUACCAGUAAUGACCAUACAUACUUUAGAACUUCAUGUAAAAAAUAAUUGUUUUCAUUAUAGAGAUUUGUUGCCCCAUACGUUAUAAAUAUGUCCAAUUAAGUUUCCCACUUUUUAUUUGUCAUAUUACAGAAAAGCAACAAUAGGUUCAAGGUUUUUAUACAGCUUUACGUAGUGAGUGUCAAUAAUUUUAUAAAUACACCUGGUUUGUAAGAACUGUAGCAAUUCUUGUUUUAGUGCCGCUUGUUAUUCUUUGCCACUGGUCUCAUCCCAUCCUGUUGGACUUCCAGUCCGCUGAGCCUUUUCCCUGAUCUGCAGCGAGCAGCUUGACAACCUUUUGCUCAUCUGGGGGAAAUCCCAUUAUAGGCUGUUAGAACAUGAGUAAUGGCAGCUGUACGGUUAACCGGUUCGGAUGGAAGUAGACUAAUGCUCAGCCAUCACGUAGCUUUUCUCGCAGACAGAUAUUCGGCCCGUGUUUGCUGCAGUUCUCCUCUGGUUUGUCUUUGAAGAGAAAUCAAGGAGUGUUUGCUCCGUCAAAUCUUCUCAUCACCCUGAAAAACAGUGAUCAGUUUUGACUGGCCAGUUUGUUGUUCUGAAAACACUGCUUAACCCUGGAGGCUUUCAGGUCAUGUUUUAUGGAUUUUUCUGCUCUGACUUAGUUUGGUUUGUUUAAACAAAUUGAUUAGGGAACCAAGGAGUUUUCAGUUCUUAACCAGGGAUUGUGCUGGAGGCACUUCUUAACUGAUGCUCUGAAAGAACAUUUUUGGUUUUCAACCACCCAAGACUCUAAUCAAAGCCACUUCACUAUGCAUGCCUCAUUUAUUUUUUAUUUUUUUGAUCCUUUCCCUGUUUUCAGUGAACGAUUAUGGAAACAAUUUAGCAAAACAACUAAUAUUACUCAUCCCAGUAUUUCUGCAAUAACUGCCUUUAAUAGCCACCAACUUAUUUUAGUAAAGGUGUUUUUAAACAUCCAGGUGUGUUUCACAAUCCUCAUAGGCUGACUUAAUCACACCAGGAGCUCCAAAACAGAGUGCCGUAACCUCACUGUUACAGCACUCUGACCCUUUUGCUGCUUGCCUUUGUUGUUAUCAGACACUGUCUGCUGGUCUUAUGUUGAAUCAGCAGUCCCAUGAUUAAUUAAGGGUUUUAUCUAUAUUUACCAAGAAAUUAAUUAAGCCAUCACAUGGUCAUUAUAUAUGAUAUUUGCAUUGAAGUUAUUGUAAUUGGUUGUAUGUAACAUUCCUCAUUUUAAAAAAAAAAUAGAAUUUUGGGUUUCCAUUACCUGUACACCAUAAUCAUCUAAAUGAAUGGGAUAACUGCUUAAAUCUGUUACUUAAUGUGAUUAAUUUAAAUUAUAAGUGAACUUUUCCAACUCAAGCAAGCAUAGUCUAAUAGUGGAGAUAAACCAUCUCCCUUGACUUACAGGAGAAGGCUAGAAAAAAAUAUACCAAUGCAAAAGCUUUGAGACAGGAUUUUUACUGAAACAAACAUGGAACAAGAACACAAAACAGGAAAUUAAAAAUAAUGCAAAAAAAAAAAAAAGGAAAAGGGAGUAACUGUGAAGUCGACAGCAGUUACUGUGAAGUGUUCUGUCAGGUAAAUAUAAAAUGUUAUUUAAUGUUACAAAUUAGAGCAUUGCUUUUAAGGAAAAUCUGUUUUCUCAGCUUGAUGUUAUUUUAAAUAGCUAUUGGUCUGUGUUAAAAUAAGAAUGUGAAGGCCUGAGGUCAACAGAAAGAGUCCAAACAUAAAAGUUAGCGUAAACGGAAGGAAGUGGUUGUCAAAGGUGUUUGAGCGGAAACUUACAGCCUUUAAAUCAAUCUCCCCCUCUGCCUUCCUGCUGUGUCUUUUUGUAGUUUGAUUCCUCUGAAACAAUUUGAUUAAAGUGGUUGGCUGACUUAAUUCAGAACGAAAGCUCGGCUACAUUUGCUUAUCAUUCUCUUUGAUGUCACUUCCCCGCCCAGCAACGCUCCUUCCUGGAGUCAUGCCUUUUUUUUCAUCAUCCUUUCAUUAUUUGAAAGUACGAGUAAAAAAAAAUAUAUACAAGAAAAACCUGCCACUAUCUCAUUACAUUCACAAUUACUCCCGUGGCUGUCAGAAAAAUAAGGCCUAAUCACAAUCAAAAACAUGGAAAAAUGUUAUUGUUUGAUCAGAUUUUGAUCUGCCAGCGCUUCGUAGUCGUUUUUAUAUGCUGGCUGAAAGACUUGAUUUCCUUCUUCCCUCUUCUGCUUUCAAAGGAGUCUUUCAUCUUUUAGUAUUUUUUGACAUAAUUCAAAAGUCAAUCUGACUGGUUGCACGGUGCAGCGUCGAGGAAGGUAAAGCACAUUAGAGGAAGAGAAAAGUCAUCAUUUACUACAAAAAAUAUCCAUCAGGAGGGAGUCAUUUAAUCCUGCAAUGAGUCAUGAAAGCUUCUUUAUCCAGGAAAAAAUAAGUGAAUAGUCACCAAAGGAAGCUGCUCUUGUUCAUACUGCUCAAAAGAUGAGUAAUUAGUCCCUCUUUAAUUGGCAUUAAGAUGAAAGUUGUAGAAUAAACUGACACAAGGAUAGAAAAAAAUAAAAUAAAAAACAACAGACGCUAUACAUAACAUUUAUUUAUUUUCAAGUUUUUUUUCUGGUUGUUUCUAUUUGCUCUUACCACACUGAAGUUCGCACUGCAUACCCUGCUAAAUAUUUGGUUCAUCCUGACUCCCUGCUGGAUUUUGGGGAAUUCUGGGCCUGCGUUGGUCUGCUAUUCUGGGGUCAAAGUUGUGCCUCUGUCUGGUCUGUGGAAAUUCUUUCCUACUGUUUGCUGAAAAUACGUUCAACUUGUUUUGGCACAUGUGCCUGGGAAAUGUCCCAAUAUCAAGAUGGCAGAUGGCAAGCUUGUUUUUUUUCUAAAAUGUGUAUGUUCUAGUCUGACCUUCUCAAAAGUUUCUCAUAUAUUGUUUAGAAAUGACAGAGUACUUCUUUUCUUCUUUUUGAUCCAAAUUUGGGUCAUGUUUAUGACCUGAGGUUGCAAUAGAGUUUUACAAAUUUCAGAGGACGUUUUCUAAAUCUACAAGUUAAGACCUUUGAGAAAAACAGCCAUAAGAUCUCCAUAGUGAAGGUACUUUAUGUUCCUAAUAACUAUGUGCCAUCGUUUAUCGUCAGGAUUCUUUGUUCUCUUGUACUAUUUUACAAAUAUAAACAAUGGACACACAAACUCGUCAAAUUGUUCCCCAGAUAAGGUUUCCAGUUCAAUUUUCGUGUCUACACACAUUUUCUUGUUUGUUGAUCUUGGUUGAAAGAGUUGAUGUGUCUGCUAAGAAAAUGAAAACAUUCCAUUCUGCUGGUUGUAGAAAAUUUAUUAUUUUUCUUUAAACACUGUCUAAAUCUAGCAGUGCAGAGCACACCGGCUGUAUUUUUGCACCCUUAAUCGCCACCCAGCUUUCUCCAUGACCUUUUGUGAUGUGAAAUCCAUAGACUAAAAUUUGUUUUAAACACUCUGAUAUUUGAGAGAAAAAAUUUGAACUGGACUCAAAAUUUUGGAGCAAAAUUGUAAAACUGCACUCAUGCAACAGUAAAUACCGUCCACAUUCAAUCAUUUUCACUCAGGUGUUGUAUUGUGUUUUCUAUUAUGCAUAUAUUAUAUCGGACUCUAUUAAAGGAAAGCAUAAUUAAGGGAGGUUCAGUUUAUCUUUGUCUAAAAUUGAAAAACACAUUUUGAAGCUGAAGAUUUUCCACGUUGAUGACAACCCCAGAUGAGGUUUACAGCAACUCCUGAGAUCUAUGUCAGAUUGUCGACUCUUUAAUCUGGAUAACUCAGUUAUCUGUGUGAGGUCCUCGCACUGAUCUGACAACAGCAACAACUACAGAAACUUCCAAAUGAAGGAGUUAGAAUGUUGCUGCUGCCUGUACUUAAUAAACCAUGAAACCAAACACAGUUUUUUGACACUAAUGACCCCGACUUCUCAGCUUUAAAGAUGUAUGCGUGUUGACAAUGACACAUAGCAGGGCUGAAUUAUUUACAUAUAUUACAUGCACAGAUACAUUAUUCAUUUACUGUGUGCAGGGAAAUAGGUUCAGCAGAGUAAUGAAUCCCAUUAAGUGGUAGUGUUGGUGAAGUCAGGGGGUUUUUUGGCCUCGUCACCUCGUUACCGAUCACCGCAAAUUGCUGCUUAAUUAUUCCUUGCCAUAGGGCCAAAUGUUCAUUUGCCACAACUAAUUAUGGCUACACUGCUGUAAUUCUUUCCAGCCAAACGGUCAGACACAACAGAGUGUGUAUGUGUGCCUACACAACCGAGAAUUACCUGGUGAAUGAGAAAGAUAUGUUCUGAAUUUCAAAGAAAUUAUGUUAUGAUUAAAAUUGUGCAGUUUGGAAGAGCACUUCACAUUUCUUCUUUGAUUUUCAGAAUGAUUAAAGUUUGAACUUACUUUUCUUAAAAUCAAAAAGGUUCCAUAAAACAGGAAACGACUGAAGCUUAUAUUCAGAUUUAGUGAGUAUAGUGAGUCAGAUUUGGUUAGCAAACUGUGUCUCCAAUAAUAAGGCGGUGUAACGGUGAUGUUUUUUUUCUAGAAAGUGGUUUUAUUUCCAGUACCAGUAGGAAUAUCAGAAGGUAUCACCACAUAAACAUAAACAACACAGUACAGUUGGGGAACCGCUCACUUUCGAGAGGACAUUCUACGCACUUAUAGGAUGUUUUAAAGUUAUCACCAGGUAAUUCAUUGGGUAACAUCUUAGUCACUGAUGUGUGUAUUCUGUCUUUUGUAGUAUUUACAGUACUCCUUCAGCAUAUAGUGUGCUUUUGGAAUACUUACAGAGUCAGGUACAGCAUAUUUUGUGUGUACUUUUGGAGUAAUUAUUACCGUAGUCAUGCAGUACUUCUGGGCUACACGGAAAGUGUUUUAGAAAUACUUAUUGGGACCAGAUUCUAUUAGGACUUGGAAUUUAGAAUUAUGGGAAAGUUUUAGAGUACAUUAUACUCUAACUGUAUUUGGGGCACCUUUGUGGUACUGAUGAUACAAGAACCUUUGGUACCAGGGAUUUAUCUGGUUACCAUAAAGAUGGUUACGGAGUUCUUUCAAGAAAUGCCCAGAAACAUUUCCAAAAGAAAAAAUAACAAACAAACAAAAACAUGUUAUUUUUUUUUUUUUUCUUUUUCUUGGAACUUUCAAAGUGUAACAAACUGAUCACUAAAAUUUCAAUAAGUAAACUCAAACUUACUUCUCUCACUUCAAUUUUUAGUGUGGUUUUAAAUUUAGAACCCAAAUGGUUUAAGUAUCCUGAAAUAGAUUUUAAAUGAUUUCAUAAAGAAAUUGUUAAGUUGAGAAAUAUGCCCUGUCUGGUAUUCAUAGUUAUGUAUUUCAGCAGUAAUGCAGUCAACACAUGAGGUCAUGUUUGUAAAAUAAAUCAAAGUACAAAUAAAUAAUAAAUACAUAAUUAUUUUGUUAAUACAUGUUUGCUUAUUAGUGUUCCUUCAGUCGUUACUGAAUUCUCAAUUUUUACAAACAAUUUGUUAAAUAAAAUUUCUUAAGCAUGUUUUUUGUAUUUUUUUCAGCUGAGGUGUUACAAAGUGUCUCCAUCCCUUGAUUUGUCAUUAUUCUCCUCCUUGUGACAAGGCUGAGAGUGUGCAGAACUGCAGGACAAGGCCAUUGUGAUUUCUAUACAGCUAACUUUAAGUGCAGUGUCCUCACCCCUUCAGUUCUCCUGUCCCGUCACCUUGGCAGCUUCUUUGAUUUGUUUCUGUCCUGAUUGCCGCCUCCUUGUGAAGAGUUUUUUUUCUGUGCAGCUCUUAAAGAAACUAUCAUCAAAGCAGCCAUGUCCAGCUGUGAAGACAAACAGCUGGAUUGUUAUCCGGCCAGAGAUCCAGGAAGCCAGAGCCUAAAUUUUCAUUGAUAUCAGGUGGGAAAAUUGUUUGUCAUUCUGCUUAUUUGGAAACUGGAUUCCUUCAUUUAUGAGCAAAUGGCCAUAGAUAAUAAAGCAACAACUUAAAUAGA